GUAGGUGGCAAGCGUUGUCCGGAAUUAUUGGGCGUAAAGCGCGCGCAGGCGGUUCUUUAGGUCUGAUGUGAAAGCCCACGGCUCAACCGUGGAGGGUCAUUGGAAACUGGAGAACUUGAGUACAGAAGAGGAAAGCGGAAUUCCACGUGUAGCGGUGAAAUGCGUAGAGAUGUGGAGGAACACCAGUGGCGAAGGCGGCUUUCUGGUCUGUAACUGACGCUGAGGCGCGAAAGCGUGGGGAGCAAACAGGGAUUAGAUACCCUGGUAGUCCACGCCGUAAACGAUGAGUGCUAAGUGUUAGGGGGUUUCCGCCCCCUUAGUGCUGCAGCUAACGCAUUAAGCACUCCGCCUGGGGAGUACGGCCGCAAGGCUG
rnacentral:rRNA from 1 species